rnacentral:rRNA from 1 species
CAGCAGUGAGGAAUAUUGGGCAAUGGAGGCAACUCUGACCCAGCCAUGCCGCGUGCAGGAAGAAUGCCCUAUGGGUUGUAAACUGCUUUUAUUUAGGAAUAAACCCUUCUACGUGUAGAAGGCUGAAUGUACUAAACGAAUAAGCACCGGCUAACUCCGUGCCAGCAGCCGCGGUAAUACGGAGGGUGCAAGCGUUAUCCGGAAUCAUUGGGUUUAAAGGGUCCGCAGGCGGACGUAUAAGUCAGUGGUGAAAUCCUGCAGCUUAACUGCAGAACUGCCAUUGAUACUGUACGUCUUGAAUUCGGUCGAAGUGGGCGGAAUGUGUAGUGUAGCGGUGAAAUGCAUAGAUAUUACACAGAACACCGAUAGCGAAGGCAGCUCACUAGGCCUGGAUUGACGCUCAGGGACGAAAGCGUGGGGAUCAAACAGGAUUAGAUACCCUGGUAGUCCACGCUGUAAACGAUGAUUACUCGUUUUCGGCGAUAUACAGUCGGAGACUAAGCGAAAGUGAUAAGUAAUCCACCUGGGGAGUACGAUCGCAAGGGGUUGAAACCA